UACGGAGGGUGCAAGCGUUGUCCGGAUUUAUUGGGUUUAAAGGGUGCGUAGGCGGCUUUUUAAGUCAGUGGUGAAAGACAACAGCUCAACUGUUGCAGUGCCAUUGAUACUGAAGAGCUUGAGUACAGAUGAGGUAGGCGGAAUUUAUGGUGUAGCGGUGAAAUGCAUAGAUACCAUAAAGAACACCUAGUGCGAAGGCAGCUUACUAAGCUGUAACUGACGCUGAGGCACGAAAGUGUGGGGAUCAAACAGG
rnacentral:rRNA from 1 species